rnacentral:tRNA from 1 species
AAAGGGAGACCUAAUUCAGGUAGGAGGCGAAAAAAAAGUAGUCGCUACCAAGAAUCAAUCCCAAAAGGUCGGAGCGAGGCGAAAUUGGCUUUCAAACUAGGUUCUGGGUUCACACAAGACCUGAAUCAGGAACAAGGGCUAUUAGCUCAGGUGGUUAGAGCGCACCCCUGAUAAGGGUGAGGUCCCUGGUUCGAGUCCAGGAUGGCCCACCUGCACAGGUGGCAAAAACAAAGAAGCGAGGCGAGGAAUCAGCACCUUAUCUUACUUAUAUAGUAAGAGAGAAUGCUGGCUCUGAGUAAAGAGUCCAGAGGAACCUUGAAAACUGCAUAGAGCUAGGUGAAAAAGCCAAAAAAGAAGACCGCAAG